rnacentral:rRNA from 1 species
UACGGAGGGUGCGAGCGUUAAUCGGAAUUACUGGGCGUAAAGCGCGCGUAGGCGGUUAGUUAAGCUGGAUGUGAAAGCCCAGGGCUCAACCUUGGAACUGCAUUCAGAACUGGCUGGCUAGAGUACGAGAGAGGGUAGUGGAAUUUCCUGUGUAGCGGUGAAAUGCGUAGAUAUAGGAAGGAACAUCAGUGGCGAAGGCGACUGCCUGGCUCGAUACUGACGCUGAGGUGCGAAAGCGUGGGGAGCAAAC